rnacentral:rRNA from 1 species
AUGGAGGGGACGGCCAUCAGCAUCGGCAAGUCCGUGUUGAGCGGGGCGCUCAACUACGCCCAGUCGGCUGUGGCCCAGGAGGUGGCUCUGCAGCUUGGUGUCCAGCGUGACCAUUCCUUCAUCAGGGGUGAGCUCGAGAUGAUGCAGUCAUUCCUCAUGGCUGCACACGACGAGCGAGACGACAAUAAGGUGGUCAAGACUUGGGUGAAACAAGUCCGCGACGUGUCCUACUCUGUCGAGGACUGCCUCCUGGAUAUUGCUGUCCGUUUGGAGAAGCAGUCUUGGUGGUGUCUCUCUCUCGCAAGGUGCUAG